rnacentral:misc_RNA from 1 species
AUCAAGAGAACCUUCCCCUUGUAAAUGCUGAGAUCAACAUCGUUUCCUCUAGCAUCCUUUAUAGGAAAUGCUUUAGAGAAAGAAAGUCAUAUUAAAUGAAAAGAAAUGAUUAGCUCUAAAGAAAUGAUUAGCUCUUACCUCUUCAGUAUAACAGAAAAAGAGAGAUUGAAAUACGUUCAAAGUUCAGAAAAUACAGUCAUCAAAUAUUCACGCUUAAAAAAGAAAAUGAAGUAGAAAUGGAUGAUUCAAUAGGACUCUGAUAAUGUGAAAUCCUCAUAUUCAUGAACACGAAUCAAAGAAAUAGCGUGCAAAUCCAACAUGAAUAAAGAUGAAAUAGGACUAUGAGACAUAUUAAAAACACCCAUUUUUAAUAAUCUUCAACCCUAAAAAAUUGAAUUGUAAUGGCUUCAAUUUCUUAAAUAGAAUACAAAUAUUAUCUAUGGUUCUCAGAAGACCCAAGACCCAUGUCUUAAAUUAAGGAAAUCAAUGCUGGGCAUGAUUCCAAUUCCUCAACAUCAACGCCAAAAGAAUCAUUUCAUAGAAAAGGAUAAAGGUAAACAGACCCAGAACAACUAG